GUGUUGAUUGAUGAUUUGGCUUGACUCUGUGUAUAUGGAUUGAAUGUACGUGAAAUAAGCCAUGUGUUAAAAUAUCGUUGAAUUUAUGAGAUUAAGUGGACACUAAAGUAUGUGAAAUUUUGAUAAAUUUGAUUUAACAUGUCCAAAAUUGACUAUCUGGUUGCUGCUGUUAGAAAUCUGAUCUUAAUUGCAUAUAUAGAUCAUGUCUUCUGAGAUUAUAAAAAUUAUUUUGAGUAAAAGUACAUGACUUUAUGUUGAUUAUGGUCAAUCCUGAUUAUCUUACUGCUAACUUGAGAUGUUGUAUGUGAUAAUUGAUAAAAUUGAGUCAGUUACCUGUAAAUUAUGUUGACUGAGUAUGUUAAAACUCUGUUGCAGGUUCAAAUGUCUAAUUUGUGAUGAUUUCAGUGAUAAAAAAUGAUAUAUGAAACUUUUGAGAAUUUUAAGAUGCAAAUAUGGCUGAUAAUGUUUGAGUUAAGCAAGACUGAGUUAUACUGAUAAAAAUUGAACUAAUUUGUUUAUCAACAUGUUUAAAUGAUUAAGUGAUGCUCUGUUUUGUGAAAUUAAGUGACUAGGACAGUUGAAAAUCUGAGAAUUAUGAAAACCUAUAGUUGAUAUAUUUAUUUGUUGACUUAGUGGUGUCAUAAUUUUGAGAACUGAUAAUUAACAUAUCUAAUUCAUUAUCCUUAAACUAUCACUAAUGAAAUCCAGAUUAUAAAAGCUUAAAUGGACUUAACUAUAGGUCUGUAUUUUGCAACUAAGGGGUUUAUGCUUAUUGAAACUCUGUGCUCAGUUCCCGUGGUAAUGAAGCCUUGAUAUGAAUCAUUUAAGUAGUGUGAUCAUGUCUAACACUGGUAUAUGGUGUGUAAUGGGAGCAUCUAAUAAAAUGCAUGCUAUCUAACUUAUAUGAUCAAGUUGCCUUAACAUUUUAAAUAAGCCAGAGAUUGACAUUAAUUACAUGAUUCACCUCAUACACCUUUGAUUGUUCAAACUGCCUAGUUUAUACAUGAUAAAUGCCUUAUGACAACCACUUUGUAUGACAUGUUUUACUUGUUAUUUGUAUUAUGUGAAAUGCCAUGAAUUAGUUGCUAAUUGCAUGUUCUGCUAGAUAUAAACUUAUUUGCUAAAUGCUGCAUGGUCUGAUUAUUGUAUAUUCUUGUCAACAUGAUGUAUAAGCUGAUAAAUUGGCAAAGAUAUAUAAUAUGAAGAUAAGUAUGUGUUCUGUGCUAGCCAUGCCAUGAUAUCUACAUGCAACUAUUUGAGAUUUAAAUGCAACAUGUCUGUAUGUUCUGCUACUACUGUUAGAUAUCUUCUGACUUGUACUGUGAUAUGUGCCAGUGAAUCUGUGAAUGUACUCAUUGCUUGUAGUUGCCACUUUUGCUAUGUUCUUGCUUGUUUAAUUCAACUUGUAUGCAAAAGAUAUGAUAUGUGACUGUAGUCUUGAGUGUAAUAUAUUGCUUGUUAUGGAUGUAUUAGAUUUGAAUGAUAACCUAUUAGGUAUGCUCAUGUUCAUGUUAGAAUAAGACACACACACACACACACUUGCCCUCACAUUAAGACCUGGCUGGGGAUCCCUUUGGAGCCCUAGUAUCUGGAUCACUGGUGUGAAACGGCCACUUAGAUAUAGGUCAUAAUGCAUAAUAAAUUGAAUGUAUAUAUGUUAGUUAUGCUUGUAUGACCAUGUGCUUGCUGUGUAUGGUUGAUGACUUAUCUGAACUGCUUGUUUGACUGAUGUGUAUAUUUGAGUGUUGUUUGACUAUAAGAGAAAUCUAUUUUACGUAAAUCCAAAUUGCCUUCUGUCAAACCUCUUUCAAAAAUCAGAAUUUGUCUCCCUUGCUUGAACUUUUAAAAUAAGUUUUUAUGAAAAACAAAAGGGCGAAUGAUCGUCUUUCAAAAAAUAUUCACUGCAAAAGUUGAUUUGAUGGGGUCCAUGUGUCAUAAAAUUUUAAGAUACCACAUGCAUGUACUAUCUUUCCUUUUAUAUUCUUAUUUGUAUAUAUGUGAGUACUUGAGUGCCUAUUUGUUUACUGUGUCACCUAAGACUAUAGGCAGUGUACACACAUCUUAUAAGACCAACUUUAGGCACAUGUGUAGGACCAUAGAAAUCAUUUGAACUACAUCUUUCCUACUUUUAAAACCCCACUACCUCUUGGCCUUUACUAUAUAAGGCCAAACACCUACGUACACAUGCACACACAGUUCUUUCCACUUACUUUAAUCCUUCUUUAUGUUUUGAUGGAACACAAACAACCUGAAAACCCUAAACCUAACUCAAACUUCAACCCAAACCUUUUAACCAAAAUGGAGAUGAACCAAUUCUUUGAUACUCAAGCCUCUGCCUUUAUUUCUUCCAACAACAAGAAACACAAACCCAACACUCAAAAUGAAACAUAUUUCGGCAGAGUGUUCAAGUGAAUGUGGGUAGGAAAGAUUCUUCUUCUAAGCCGAAAGGUAAUAAGAAGAAAAAAAAGGCUUAGACACAGAAAGCUGUGAAGACAGUGGGAGUUCAAGGUGGUGUGAAAAAACCCAAGGGAAAGUGCUACCGGUGCAAGCAGUCGGGUCACUGGAAACAAGAUUGUCCUCUUCCUAAGAAGACAAACAAUACUGGUAUGUCUCUUUCUCUAGUUACAGAAACAUUUAUAGCGGCUAUAUCUACGAGCACUUGGUGUGUAGAUACUAGAGCCACUGAUCAUGUUUGUAACUCUAUGCAGGGGUUCCAGCAAUCCAGAAUGCUUAGAGAUGGUGAGAUCUACGUGUUCAUGGGAG
rnacentral:lncRNA from 1 species